CCACAUGGCAGCAAAGUCAUGACGAUUAAGAUCGAAUGCAGCAAAUAGUUCUCCCUGCAGACCAAGCAGUAAUGUUAGAGUACGAUAUACUGAGUAGUGAAAUGAAACGGAGUCAAGAGCUGAAUCGGAUUCUUUCCUUAAGAAGUAUUUUGAUUCAUUAUAACCAGUCUGCAAAGCUAUUUCUCGGUUAUUGGGGCGCUGAUCUGCUUGACGACCACGCCCGACAUAUAUUGAGCCAAAAUCAGCGCCACUAGUAACUUCACCGGGAAUAAAAAAAUUCUCUUUUCCUAUUUCACGAGCACAUUGGCGAAUAUAAGCGCUCCAAUCUCCAAGGAAAUCAGCUGUAAUUUGAGUGGCCUUAUCAACACGGAUUCCAUCAAUAUCGAGCAUUUUUACAGCUAAACAUCCUAAAUGUUUAAGCUUUUUAGCAACAAUUGGGUCCCAAUCUCUCAAUCUAUCUUGCACUGAAGCAAAAUUUGACAGUUGGCGCCACCAAGGAGGAUGAUUACCAAAAGCUUCGACAUCUCCAUAGUGGUCGAAAUCACCACUUAGACACAUAACUUCAGAAAUCGAAUUAAGGUCUUCGGUAUUAUUGAUUGGAAGACCCGUAACAUCCCAAAAGGUAGGGGCAUUACAAGAAUACGAAGACCCGUUAGACAAUUGAAAAUCUGUGUAAUGAUAUUCUGGGUGCUUAUACUUCAUUUUAUAUCCUUUGGUGCUAAAAGGAGCAGAAGUAUUCGCGAACGACAUUGAAGAAUUCACGAAAUAGCUAAGCUCAGAAAGAGUAGAUAUAGUAAAAUCAACUACUACAUAAAACCCUCUCUCAUGCAAUUUCAUUAUUGCUUCAUGCCAUUGAUUGAGAGUUCCAGUAUGCUUGUCGAGCAAAGUAAAAUCAAGGGGAGAGUAGCCAUCUGGGUACCAAGGCAAGUUCUGGAACGGUGUACCAGCUAUAUAAACAGCUUUAAUGCCCAUGCUUUCAAGAUAAUCUAGGGACCUUGGAGUUACAAGUCCAACAAUAUCACCACCUGCCCGAAAUGUAACUUCAUAAGGGUCAGAUUCAAAGACAGUAUCUUCAGCAACAUCAUUUUCGGGAACUCCGUUGGUCCAUUUAUCCAGGAUAAUGGUGUAAAAAGGUAGCGCUCUCCAGUUAGAUGGAGAAGGAAAAUACUCAUGAGAAUUCCAUUCGGCACUAUAAUCCAAAAUUUUUUGAGCUGUCCAAUUACGAUUUAGAUUCCAAGGUUCAUUUUCAUCAGUAAGGAAGGCUGCUGUUAUAAUUUGGAUAAAUAGGAAAAAUAUUAACAAAAUUGUAGGUAUGCUAAAGAAGAGCAUCUUUGAUACAAAAAGAUAGUAACAACACCUUUAUUUUAACCUAAAAGAAGGACAAAAAUUGAACUAGAAAAGAAAGUAAAUGGAAUUUGAGUGAUGAAACACCUUCACCUAACUUCCAAAUCUCGAGCAGAAUUUAAGUGAUUUUGAAUAGGUUGAAAACUAACGAAAAAAAUAAGAUGACCUUGUCUACCUGCUGAGACUGCUAUGAACAUCGUAACCAUUAUGACUGAACAUUGAUGUCAGGUGUUAUCAAUCAAUGGCAGACAAUUGAUGAUAUUUUGAUGAAAGAUUUGUGAAAUGUAACCUUCUUUUCAUAUGGAUCACAAUUACUUCAAGGCCCCAUCAUCAUAGACGCAUCUUCAACAACCCAUAUGUAAAAACCACUUAAAUGGAUUCGUUACAUGUGAUACACGGGACAGAGCAAACCUGACAACAUUUGCUUUCGUUGAUUGUGUAACCAUCGCUAAAAGCUUUCUGCCUAAUCACUUCCUAGCAAUUCGAAAAUUAAGUACCAUUGUCAUAGUCUAGAGAUUCACCACCAGUUCUGGUCAGUUAAUUAGCUUGAAAUGUAUUUCAAAACAUAAGCAUAUAUAGUAAUUGAAUGAUUAAGUUGCUAAAUUAGAAUCAGAAGAUUCAAUUUCAGUAACAUAAAAGGACACGUCUUUUUGCUAAAGAUAUCGUCCAUCAAAAAACUUCGCUUUUCCAAA